CCCUUAGAUGUUCUGGGCCGCACGCGCGCUACACUGAUGCGUUCAACAAGUUUCCUUGGCCGAGAGGCCUGGGCAAUCUUCUUAAUAUGUAUCGUGAUAGGGAUAGAGUAUUGCAAUUAUUAAUCUUGAACGAGGAAUUCCUAGUAAACGCAGAUCAUCAAUCUGCAUUGAUUACGUCCCUGCCCUUUGUACACACCGCCCGUCGCACCUACCGAUUGGAUGUUCCGGUGAAGCCUCGGGAUGAGGACUGGUGCCUUUAUUGGCAUGAGUUGUUCAGAACUUGUCUAAACCUUAUCAUCUAGAGGAAGGUGAAGUCGUAACA
rnacentral:rRNA from 1 species